rnacentral:rRNA from 1 species
CCUACGGGUGGCAGCAGUGGGGAAUAUUGCGCAAUGGGGGCAACCCUGACGCAGCAACGCCGCGUGAUUGAAGAAGGCCUUCGGGGUGUAAAGAUCUUUAAUCGGGGACGAAUUUUGCCGUUCCCCGAAGCCUCAGCUCCGUCUACCUACGUGCCAGCAGCCGCGGUAAUACGGGGGAUGCGAGCGUUAUCCGGAUUACUUGGGUUUAAGGGGUGCGCAGGCGGAGGUGCAAGUCAGCGGUCAACUUGCGGGGCCAACCCCCGUACUGCCGUUGAAACUGCAGCCCUUGAGUGCGCGAGAAGUAUGCGGAAUGCGUGGUGUAGCGGUGAAAUGCAUAGAUAUCACGCAGAACUCCGAUUGCGAAGGCAGCAUACCGGCGCGCAACUGACGCUCAUGCACGAAAGCGUGGGUAUCGAACAGGAUUAGAUACCCGUGUAGUC